GCUCCUGUGGCGCAAUUGGUUAGCGCACGGUACUUAUAAGACAGUAGCUUUACGCAAUGCCGGGGUUGUGAGUUCGAGCCUCACCAGGAGCA
rnacentral:tRNA from 1 species